rnacentral:rRNA from 1 species
GGUUAAGUGACUAAGCGUACACGGUGGAUGCCUUGGCAGUCAGAGGCGAUGAAAGACGUAGUAACUUGCGAUAAGCCCAGAUUAGGUAGUAACAACCAUUUGAGUCUGGGAUUUCUGAAUGGGGAAACCCACGUGCAUAAGCACGUAUCCUUACCUGAAUACAUAGGGUAAGGAGGCGAACCGGGGGAACUGAAACAUCUAAGUACCCCGAGGAAAAGAAAUCAACCGAGAUUCCGAAAGUAGCGGCGAGCGAAAUUGGACUAGCCCUUAAGCUUUACACGCGUUAGACGAACGGUCUGGAAAGUCCGACGAUACAGGGUGAUAGUCCCGUAGUUGACGACGUGUGUUCAGUGAAAUCGAGUAGGGCGGGACACGUGAUAUCCUGUCUGAAUAUGGGGGGACCAUCCUCCAAGGCUAAAUACUACUGACUGACCGAUAGUGAACCAGUACCGUGAGGGAAAGGCGAAAAGAACCCCUGUGAGGGGAGUGAAAUAGAACCUGAAACCGUGUACGUACAAGCAGUAGGAGCACCUUCGUGGUGUGACUGCGUACCUUUUGUAUAAUGGGUCAGCGACUUAUAUUCAGUGGCAAGGUUAACCAUCUAGGGGAGCCGUAGGGAAACCGAGUCUUAACUGGGCGUUCAGUCUCUGGAUAUAGACCCGAAACCAGGUGAUCUAGCCAUGGGCAGGUUGAAGGUUGAGUAACAUCAACUGGAGGACCGAACCGACUAAUGUUGAAAAAUUAGCGGAUGACUUGUGGCUAGGGGUGAAAGGCCAAUCAAACCUGGAGAUAGCUGGUUCUCCCCGAAAGCUAUUUAGGUAGCGCCUCGGACGAAUACUACUGGGGGUAGAGCACUGUUAAGGCUAGGGGGUCAUCCCGACUUACCAACCCUUUGCAAACUCCGAAUACCAGUAAGUACUAUCCGGGAGACACACGGCGGGUGCUAACGUCCGUCGUGGAGAGGGAAACAACCCAGACCGCCAGCUAAGGUCCCAAAUUACUACUAAGUGGGAAACGAUGUGGGAAGGCUCAGACAGCCAGGAUGUUGGCUUAGAAGCAGCCAUCAUUUAAAGAAAGCGUAAUAGCUCACUGGUCGAGUCGGCCUGCGCGGAAGAUGUAACGGGGCUAAGUAGUAAACCGAAGCUGCGGCAAUAUACUUUUGUAUAUUGGGUAGGGGAGCGUUCUGUAAGCGGUUGAAGGUGUGUGGUAACGCAUGCUGGACGUAUCAGAAGUGCGAAUGCUGACAUGAGUAACGAUAAAGGGGGUGAAAAACCUCCUCGCCGGAAGACCAAGGGUUCCUGUCCAACGUUAAUCGGGGCAGGGUAAGUCGACCCCUAAGGCGAGGCCGAAAGGCGUAGUCGAUGGGAAACGGGUUAAUAUUCCCGUACUUCUUACAAUUGCGAUGGGGGGACGGAGAAGGCUAGGUGGGCCUGGCGACGGUUGUCCAGGUUCAAGUGCGUAGGCUUAAGAGUUAGGUAAAUCCGGCUCUUUUUAAGGCUGAGACACGACGUCGAGCACCUACGGGUGUGAAGUCAUUGAUGCCAUGCUUCCAGGAAAAGCCUCUAAGCUUCAGAUUGUAAGGAAUCGUACCCCAAACCGACACAGGUGGUCGGGUAGAGAAUACCAAGGCGCUUGAGAGAACUCGGGUGAAGGAACUAGGCAAAAUGGUACCGUAACUUCGGGAGAAGGUACGCUCUUGAUGGUGAAGUCCCUCGCGGAUGGAGCUGACGAGAGUCGCAGAUACCAGGUGGCUGCAACUGUUUAUUAAAAACACAGCACUGUGCAAAAUCGUAAGAUGACGUAUACGGUGUGACGCCUGCCCGGUGCCGGAAGGUUAAUUGAUGGGGUUAGACUUCGGUCGAAGCUCUUGAUCGAAGCCCCGGUAAACGGCGGCCGUAACUAUAACGGUCCUAAGGUAGCGAAAUUCCUUGUCGGGUAAGUUCCGACCUGCACGAAUGGCGUAAUGAUGGCCACGCUGUCUCCACCCGAGACUCAGUGAAAUUGAAAUCGCUGUGAAGAUGCAGUGUACCCGCGGCUAGACGGAAAGACCCCGUGAACCUUUACUACAGCUUGGCACUGAACAUUGACCCUACAUGUGUAGGAUAGGUGGGAGGCUUUGAAGCAGGUACGCCAGUAUCUGUGGAGCCGUCCUUGAAAUACCACCCUUGUAGUGUUGAUGUUCUAACGUUGACCCCUUAUCGGGGUUGCGGACAGUGCCUGGUGGGUAGUUUGACUGGGGCGGUCUCCUCCCAAAGAGUAACGGAGGAGCACGAAGGUGGGCUAAUCACGGUUGGACAUCGUGAGGUUAGUGCAAUGGCAUAAGCCCGCUUGACUGCGAGAAUGACAAUUCGAGCAGGUGCGAAAGCAGGUCAUAGUGAUCCGGUGGUUCUGAAUGGAAGGGCCAUCGCUCAACGGAUAAAAGGUACUCCGGGGAUAACAGGCUGAUACCGCCCAAGAGUUCAUAUCGACGGCGGUGUUUGGCACCUCGAUGUCGGCUCAUCACAUCCUGGGGCUGAAGUCGGUCCCAAGGGUAUGGCUGUUCGCCAUUUAAAGUGGUACGCGAGCUGGGUUUAGAACGUCGUGAGACAGUUCGGUCCCUAUCUGCCGUGGGCGUUGGAAGAUUGAAGGGGGCUGCUCCUAGUACGAGAGGACCGGAGUGGACGAACCUCUGGUGUUCGGGUUGUGUCGCCAGACGCAUUGCCCGGUAGCUAAGUUCGGAAUCGAUAACCGCUGAAAGCAUCUAAGCGGGAAGCGAGCCCUGAGAUGAGUCUUCCCUGAUACUUUAAGUAUCCUAAAGGGUUGUCGGAGACUACGACGUUGAUAGGUCAGGUGUGUAAGUGCUGUGAGGCAUUGAGCUAACUGAUACUAAUUGCCCGUGAGGCUUAACCAU